UACUAAUAGGGUAAAUGAAAUGAAUAAGUGGAAUAUAAUAUUUAUUUUUAUUUUAUAAAGUUUGUUUAAAAAUAGAAGGUGGAAUAUGGAGUUUUAAAAAUUAACUUUAAAUUUUAAAUAAAUUAUAAUUUAUAAAAUAUUAGUUAUAAAAUAGGAUUAGAUACCCUAUUAUUCUAAUAAUAAAUUUAAAAUACUUGAGUAGUAAAUAGUUAUGAUCUUGAAACUUAAAGAAUUUGGCGGUAUUUUAUUCCAAUUAAAGGAACCUGUUCUAUAAACGAUAAAACACGAAAAAUUUUUCUUUUUUUUGUAAAUACAGUUUGUAUAUCAUCAUUAUUAGAUGAUUUAUAUAAAUAUAUAUCAAGAUAAAAAUUAUUAUUUAAAAUAUUAGAUCAAGGUGCAGCUUAUAGAGAAGUAAGAAAUGGGUUACAAUAAAUUAAAUUUAGGACGGAUAUAAAGGUUGAAUAAUUAUUAUUGAAGGUGGAUUUAAGAGUAAUUAUAUUUUAAUAUGGUAUAUUGAUUAUGGCUCUAAAAUAUGUACAUAUCGCCCGUCACUCUCGCUUAUUUAAAUGU
rnacentral:rRNA from 1 species